UACGUAGGGUGCAAGCGUUAAUCGGAAUUACUGGGCGUAAAGCGUGCGCAGGCGGCUUUGCAAGACAGAUGUGAAAUCCCCGGGCUCAACCCUGGGAACUGCAUUUGUGACUGCAAGGCUGGAGUACGGCAGAGGGGGAUGGAAUUCCGCGUGUAGCAGUGAAAUGCGUAGAUAUGCGGAGGAACACCGAUGGCGAAGGCAAUCCCCUGGGCCUGUACUGACGCUCAUGCACGAAAGCGUGGGA
rnacentral:rRNA from 1 species